rnacentral:rRNA from 1 species
AUGGCGCUGAACGCGACGCACGGCACGCCGAGCUCGCCGGCGACGCGGACGUUCCAGGCGAAGUGCACGUCGGUGACGACCGCGUCCGGAGACAGCGCCCUGGCGAGCGCCUCCUGCGCCGGGCGCGUCAGAUUCUCGCUCAGGGCAGCGGCGUCGAUGCGCCACGAGUCGGCCUCCGUGGCCCUGCCGAGGUUCUCCACGCCCUCCGGGAGUCCGUCCACGGCCGGAAACGGGUACGUGGCUAUCUUGACAUGCUCGGGCUGCCCACGUCGCCGGAGCAAGGACUGGACGACCGGGACGUUGGCCGGCGUGACGGCGACGGUGGCCUCCACUGCAGGUCCGGCGGCGACGAGGCGGACGGCGAGGUCGGUGAAGGGCUCGAUGUGGCUGGUGGCGAAGAAGGGGAAGAUGAGGACGCGCAGCAUCGUCUUCUUGCUGCCGGUAGCACUAGCAGCAGCAGAGGCCAUUUCUGCUUCUCCUCUGUCGUGGUCGUGCUUGGUUAACGUGAUUUUCAUCACGCGGGGGUGGGGGUAG